GCGAUAAGCGCCGGUAAGGUGAUAUGAACCGUUAUAACCGGCGAUACCCGAAUGGGGAAACCCAGUGUGAUUCGUCACACUAUCAUUAACUGAAUCCAUAGGUUAAUGAGGCGAACCGGGGGAACUGAAACAUCUAAGUACCCCGAGGAAAAGAAAUCAACCGAGAUUCCCCCAGUAGCGGCGAGCGAACGGGGAGGAGCCCAGAGCCUGAAUCAGCAUGUGUGUUAGUGGAAGCGUCUGGAAAGGCGCGCGAUACAGGGUGACAGCCCCGUACACAAAAGCGCAUGUGCUGUGAGCUCGAUGAGUAGGGCGGGACACGUGGUAUCCUGUCUGAAUAUGGGGGGACCAUCCUCCAAGGCUAAAUACUCCUGACUGACCGAUAGUGAACCAGUACCGUGAGGGAAAGGCGAAAAGAACCCCGGCGAGGGGAGUGAAAAAGAACCUGAAACCGUGUACGUACAAGCAGUGGGAGCCCCACCACCAAAGCAUUCUCUGGUGUUGAAGGCCCUGCAAAGCAGCAUCGCGGUGGCGGAGCGUCGUUUGCGACGCCCAACACACAAAACAAGCGGUGAGUGCUUUGGGGUGGGGUGACUGCGUACCUUUUGUAUAAUGGGUCAGCGACUUAUAUUCUGUAGCA
rnacentral:rRNA from 1 species